rnacentral:rRNA from 1 species
GGAAUUUUGGACAAUGGGCGCAAGCCUGAUCCAGCCAUUCCGCGUGAGUGAAGAAGGCCUUCGGGUUGUAAAGCUCUUUCGCAAGGGAAGAAACGUUACGAGCGAAUAACUCGUGAUAAUGACGGUACCUUGAUAAGAAGCACCGGCUAACUACGUGCCAGCAGCCGCGGUAAUACGUAGGGUGCGAGCGUUAAUCGGAAUUACUGGGCGUAAAGCGUGCGCAGGCUGUUUUGUAAGUCAGAUGUGAAAUCCCUGAGCUCAACUUAGGAACUGCGUUUGAAACUACAAGACUAGAAUAUGUCAGAGGGGGGUAGAAUUCCACGUGUAGCAGUGAAAUGCGUAGAGAUGUGGAGGAAUACCAAUGGCGAAGGCAGCCCCCUGGGAUAAUAUUGACGCUCAUGCACGAAAGCGUGGGGAGCAAACAGGAUUAGAUACCCCUG